AUCUAAUAUUUUUACUGAGCAAAAAUAGCGACUACUCUAUUAAAAUUAAUACGAAAAGAUGUGAUUACCAUUUCUUUAUGAGUGCUAUGUAAUAUUAAGGAUAUGGUGUUCUUAACAUUUACACCGUAUUCAUGAAGUUAAGGAUGUCAUGUCCUUAAUAUUUACACUGUACAUAUGAAGUUAAGGAUAUGAUAUCCUAAAGUUUAACAACGGACAAAUACAUGACAAUUUGUCCUUAAUAUUUACACAACAUUCAUAAAAUUAUGGACAUCACGUCUUUAAUAAUAACACACACAAAUAUCUAGCACAGGGGUAUUUUCGUUCGUGCAGGUAAAAAUUUAUUGAACAUUUACUAAAAAGUAAGUACAUUUUAAACAAUGGUUAAAGAGUAAUGACAUCUUUAAUUAGUGGCUAAGUGUACACUUCCCCUUACCUGGUCCUUCCGGUUUAUAUAUAAAAGCUCCUCAAAAACGCUAGGAGAGCACCACAGUGAAAAAGGAACCAAGGGUAAUGGAUACAACCACCGUAGAUAACGGAACCCUAGACCGAAUCAACAAGCAGCUGGAGUCACUACUCGUUCGAAUUAUCUCCUUUUGGACGACAAAGGAUGCUAUCAAAACAUGUCUUGUCUCUAAACAGUGGCAGUACCUCUGGACUUCUAUUGAUAUUCUCACUAUAGUAUGUAAAGAGUGUUAGGAAAUAUAAAAGAAAUAAUGGGUAAUUGAAAAGAAACUUUUGUAUUAAAUCGACUAGAAGACAAUUAACACGCCACACAAUAUAAUAUUUGUUAAUCUCACAAUCACUCUCUCAAAUUAUUUUGUAAUACAACUAAAAACACACACAAACACUAUAUUUUUCUUUCUCUUCACUCUAAGUGCUUCGGCACUCUAUUCUCUCUUUUUACAAACUG
rnacentral:lncRNA from 1 species